UAGGGAAUCUUCGGCAAUGGACGAAAGUCUGACCGAGCAACGCCGCGUGAGUGAAGAAGGUUUUCGGAUCGUAAAACUCUGUUGUUAGAGAAGAACAAGGACGUUAGUAACUGAACGUCCCCUGACGGUAUCUAACCAGAAAGCCACGGCUAACUACGUGCCAGCAGCCGCGGUAAUACGUAGGUGGCAAGCGUUGUCCGGAUUUAUUGGGCGUAAAGCGAGCGCAGGCGGUUUCUUAAGUCUGAUGUGAAAGCCCCCGGCUCAACCGGGGAGGGUCAUUGGAAACUGGGAGACUUGAGUGCAGAAGAGGAGAGUGGAAUUCCAUGUGUAGCGGUGAAAUGCGUAGAUAUAUGGAGGAACACCAGUGGCGAAGGCGGCUCUCUGUUCUGUAACAGACGCUGAGGCUCGAAAGCGUGGGGAGCAAACAGG
rnacentral:rRNA from 1 species